AAGCUCUACCAGAAAAAGAAAAAGAACCCAUUUGAAGGAGGAGGCAAAGGAGGUGAAGUGGGAGGGACGAGAUAAAACAAGAGCAGCCCGCAGAUAGGCAUUAACUCGAUGGAGAAAGCUCAGGGACUUGAGAGGGUUCCGAACCGACUUUCAGUUGGCAUAAUUUCUACUUGAUCACCACUUGGAAGCAUAAGCAUCAGAGGGGUUGGCCCUGUACUGAUGCACCAAAGAUGCCAUCUGGAGAAAGAGGAAGACUGGGGAGUGAGUUGUGUCCGGCCAAUUACCCCAUUCUUCCAAGCCAUUCCGAUCUCUACUCCACCCCCUCUGCUGAGCCGGGGAGGGCUACGGACUACCACAUGCCUCCUCUGGUACAUGUGGAGUCACCAGCCGCUUCUUUUCAACUGACAGUGAGGAGUUUCCCUAGCGGGACAUAGCGCAUGGGAGAAUCACGCUACUCCCCCCAGUUCCCCCUCCCCCCCGAACAAGCGCCCCGACCGACCAGAGGGGGCGUUAGUGCAUCGACCAGGACACAUACCCACAUCCAGCUUCCCACCCGCAGACACGGCCAAUUGGGUUUGUAGGGAUGCCUGACCAAGCCGGUGCUCUUGCACGAAUUCAUGACAAAGACACAUUGACAAAAUAAUAAUCAAAGCUCUACAAAUUCUUUUGAAAGCUCGUAAUUCCAUGGUACAGUAAAAUUGAAUUUGGUUGCCCAGACUGUGUGUUUUCCUUUUCAUUGAAAACAUUCAUUUUUACAUUUCAUUAUUAACAGGGGGAUUAGAGGGUGGGUAUUCACAAUUAGUGGAUUA